ACAGCGGAGAUUCUGGAGCUGGCUGGCAAUGCAGCGAGAGACAACAAGAAGGGACGGGUCACACCCCGGCACAUCCUGCUGGCUGUGGCCAAUGAUGAAGAGCUGAAUCAGCUGCUAAAAGGAGUCACCAUAGCCAGUGGGGGUGUGUUACCCAACAUCCACCCCGAGUUGCUAGCGAAGAAGCGGGGAUCCAAAGGAAAGUUGGAAGCCAUCAUCACACCACCCCCAGCCAAAAAGGCCAAGUCUCCAUCCCAGAAGAAGCCUGUAUCUAAAAAAGCAGGAGGCAAGAAAGGGGCCCGGAAAUCCAAGAAGCAGGGUGAAGUCAGUAAGGCAGCCAGCGCCGACAGCACAACCGAGGGCACACCUGCCGACGGCUUCACAGUCCUCUCCACCAAGAGCCUCUUCCUUGGCCAGAAGGUAGGCAGAUGCGCGGCCUCAGUCUACUCGAGGGCCCCAAGGGACAGAUGGGCACAGGCUACCUCCACUGGAAGGCUGGGG
rnacentral:sRNA from 1 species